rnacentral:rRNA from 1 species
UACGGAGGGUGCGAGCGUUGUCCGGAAUCACUGGGCGUAAAGGGCGCGUAGGCGGCGCGGGUAGUCAACGGUGAAGCUUGGGGCUCAACCCCGAAACUGCACUUGAUACUGCCUUGCUCGAGUACUGGAGAGGAGGAUUGGAAUUUACGGUGUAGCAGUGAAAUGCGUAGAUAUCGUAAGGAAGACCAGUGGCGAAGGCGGAAUCUCUGGACAGUUACUGACACUGAGGCACGAAGGCCAGGGGAGACAAACGGG